rnacentral:rRNA from 1 species
CCUACGGGAGGCAGCAGUGGGGAAUAUUGCACAAUGGGGGAAACCCUGAUGCAGCAACGCCGCGUGAGUGAAGAAGUAUUUCGGUAUGUAAAGCUCUAUCAGCAGGGAAGAAGAUGACGGUACCUGAAUACGAAGCCCCGGCUAACUACGUGCCAGCAGCCGCGGUAAUACGUAGGGGGCAAGCGUUAUCCGGAUUUAUUGGGUUUAAAGGGUGCGUAGGCGGAAUGCCAAGUCAGCUGUAAAAGCGCGGGGCUAAACCUCGCUCCGCCGUUGAAACUGGCGUGCUUGAGUGGGCGAGAAGUAUGCGGAAUGCGUGGUGUAGCGGUGAAAUGCAUAGAUAUAACGCAGAACUCCGAUUGCGAAGGCAGCAUACCGGCGCCCAACUGACGCUGAAGCACGAAAGCGUGGGUAUCGAACAGGAUUAGAUACCCCGGUAGUC